UUGCUGCACUUAGUAUAGGUGCAGUCUUCCACUGGAUGGGAGAUGAUUUUCUGUUAAAGGUUCAUGGUUCUGUUUCAAAAUCUGUAGGUCCCAGGUUGAUUUACUGAGGCGAAACUGAGUCAAAUUAUAGGACGCAACUUUGCAAACAUGUUUUGAUUGCUUGGAGCUACAGAGCUCAUUUUGGAUAGUGUGCUAGUGUGUAAAGGGAAGGUGUUUCUCAAAUGUGCUUUUGUAAGUAUGUUUCCCACUGCUGACUAGUUAAGUUAGAAGUCAGUGAACUGAAUUAUCAUAGAGUAGAUUUUGGCCAUUAAUUGUGGUGGAAUGCAGAGUAAAUGAAGGCUUAGGUUUAUAGCCUGCCCAGAACUAGAGGGUGUAUCUUUAAAUUCUGUAACAUCUCUGGUCUCUCACUGGCUGACAGUAUGUCUUGUUAUCCGCUUCUAGAGUACGGCUCCCUUGCGUAAGGCCUUAAGCAUAUGUGUUGAUCAGCCGCAAGUUAACAAUUUUGAAUUAAACUGAAUGGUGUUGCUGCAGGGAGCCUCUGGGAGUCCAAGGGUGGAGAGAUCUGCCUUCAUCUGAAGAUCUCUGCUAAAGGUAAAGACCUCCUAACUGGCCAGACAGCUUUAGCAGGGGUUCAGAAGUCUUACACCAAAGUAAAGUGACUCAUUUUUCAAGCAAAUUGAAUUGUCUGGUACAGUUCUCAAAAUAAGGAUUCUUCUUUUUGCGAAAUAAACACUCAAAUGCAUCUUUGAGCUUUCUCCUU
rnacentral:lncRNA from 1 species